rnacentral:rRNA from 1 species
CGCUGGCGGCAGGCCUAACACAUGCAAGUCGAGCGGUAGCACAGAGAGCUUGCUCUCGGGUGACGAGCGGCGGACGGGUGAGUAAUGUCUGGGAAACUGCCUGAUGGAGGGGGAUAACUACUGGAAACGGUAGCUAAUACCGCAUAAUGUCGCAAGACCAAAGUGGGGGACCUUCGGGCCUCAUGCCAUCAGAUGUGCCCAGAUGGGAUUAGCUAGUAGGUGGGGUAACGGCUCACCUAGGCGACGAUCCCUAGCUGGUCUGAGAGGAUGACCAGCCACACUGGAACUGAGACACGGUCCAGACUCCUACGGGAGGCAGCAGUGGGGAAUAUUGCACAAUGGGCACAAGCCUGAUGCAGCCAUGCCGCGUGUAUGAAGAAGGCCUUCGGGUUGUAAAGUACUUUCAGCGGGGAGGAAGGCGAUAAGGUUAAUAACCUUGUCGAUUGACGUUACCCGCAGAAGAAGCACCGGCUAACUCCGUGCCAGCAGCCGCGGUAAUACGGAGGGUGCAAGCGUUAAUCGGAAUUACUGGGCGUAAAGCGCACGCAGGCGGUCUGUCAAGUCGGAUGUGAAAUCCCCGGGCUCAACCUGGGAACUGCAUUCGAAACUGGCAGGCUAGAGUCUUGUAGAGGGGGGUAGAAUUCCAGGUGUAGCGGUGAAAUGCGUAGAGAUCUGGAGGAAUACCGGUGGCGAAGGCGGCCCCCUGGACAAAGACUGACGCUCAGGUGCGAAAGCGUGGGGAGCAAACAGGAUUAGAUACCCUGGUAGUCCACGCCGUAAACGAUGUCGAUUUGGAGGUUGUGCCCUUGAGGCGUGGCUUCCGGAGCUAACGCGUUAAAUCGACCGCCUGGGGAGUACGGCCGCAAGGUUAAAACUCAAAUGAAUUGACGGGGGCCCGCACAAGCGGUGGAGCAUGUGGUUUAAUUCGAUGCAACGCGAAGAACCUUACCUGGUCUUGACAUCCACAGAACUUAGCAGAGAUGCUUUGGUGCCUUCGGGAACUGUGAGACAGGUGCUGCAUGGCUGUCGUCAGCUCGUGUUGUGAAAUGUUGGGUUAAGUCCCGCAACGAGCGCAACCCUUAUCCUUUGUUGCCAGCGGUUAGGCCGGGAACUCAAAGGAGACUGCCAGUGAUAAACUGGAGGAAGGUGGGGAUGACGUCAAGUCAUCAUGGCCCUUACGACCAGGGCUACACACGUGCUACAAUGGCGCAUACAAAGAGAAGCGACCUCGCGAGAGCAAGCGGACCUCAUAAAGUGCGUCGUAGUCCGGAUUGGAGUCUGCAACUCGACUCCAUGAAGUCGGAAUCGCUAGUAAUCGUAGAUCAGAAUGCUACGGUGAAUACGUUCCCGGGCCUUGUACACACCGCCCGUCACACCAUGGGAGUGGGUUGCAAAAGAAGUAGGUAGCUUAACCUUCGGGAGGGCGCUUACCACUUUGUGAUUCAUGACUGGGGUG